rnacentral:misc_RNA from 1 species
GUUUCCGUAGGUGAACCUGCGGAAGGAUCAUCACUGAGUUUUGAAUGAAGUUGUUCUGGUCUUUCGGGGCAAGUGAACGCUUCUCUCAAUCCAUCUUACACCUGUGCACCUAUCGGGGAAGACUUGGAUCUAAGUUGGGUCACGACGGCGAUCUACAGUCUCCUCUUUAUACCAAAUAACAGUUUUAGAAAGUCUUUUUUGCUUGAUGCAAACUUAAAUAAAUACAACUUUCAGCAACGGAUCUCUUGGCUCUC